rnacentral:rRNA from 1 species
CUCGUAGGCGGUUCGAUAAGUCGGGUGUGUAACCUCCAGGCUCAACCUGGAGACGCCACCCGAUACUGUCGUGACUAGAGUCCAGUAGGGGAGCGUGGAAUUCCUGGUGUAGCGGUGAAAUGCGCAGAUAUCAGGAGGAACACCAGCGGCGAAGGCGGCGCUCUGGGCUGGAACUGACGCUGAGGAGCGAAAGCGUGGGGAGCGAACA